GCCGGAGUGGCGGAAUUGGCAGACGCGCUGGACUCAAAAUCCAGUGACCGUUGAGGUCGUGUGGGUUCGAACCCCACCUCCGGUAUCA
rnacentral:tRNA from 1 species